rnacentral:rRNA from 1 species
UACAGAGGUGGCAAGCGUUGUUCGGAAUUACUGGGCGUAAAGGGCUCGUAGGCGGUUUGUCGCGUCGGGAGUGAAAACCCAGGGCUUAACCCUGGGCUGGCUUCCGAUACGGGCAGACUAGAGGUAUGCAGGGGAGAACGGAAUUCCUGGUGUAGCGGUGAAAUGCGCAGAUAUCAGGAGGAACACCGGUGGCGAAGGCGGUUCUCUGGGCAUUACCUGACGCUGAGGAGCGAAAGUGUGGGGAGCGAACAGG